rnacentral:rRNA from 1 species
GGGGAAUAUUGCACAAUGGGCGCAAGCCUGAUGCAGCGACGCCGCGUGAGGGACGACGGCCUUCGGGUUGUAAACCUCUUUCAGCACAGACGAAGCGCAAGUGACGGUAUGUGCAGAAGAAGGACCGGCCAACUACGUGCCAGCAGCCGCGGUAAUACGUAGGGUCCGAGCGUUGUCCGGAAUUACUGGGCGUAAAGAGCUCGUAGGUGGUUUGUCGCGUUGUUCGUGAAAACUCACAGCUCAACUGUGGGCGUGCGGGCGAUACGGGCAGACUAGAGUACUGCAGGGGAGACUGGAAUUCCUGGUGUAGCGGUGGAAUGCGCAGAUAUCAGGAGGAACACCGGUGGCGAAGGCGGGUCUCUGGGCAGUAACUGGCGCUGAGGAGCGAAAGCGUGGGGAGCGAAC